rnacentral:rRNA from 1 species
AUGGCGCCGCCGCCGCAGCACCCGCCGCCGGCGAGCGGCGGCCGUCUCCUCGUGCUCUACGCAUCGCAGACCGGCCACGCCGAGGAAGCCGCUGGGCGCGUGGGCCGCGAGGCCGAGCGCGGCGGCUGCCCUGCCGUCCACGUCCUCUCCAUGGACAGCUUCGACCCUAGCCGCUUGCCGGGAGAAAGGUCUGUGAUCUUCGUCGUGUCCACCGCCGGGCAGGGCGAGCCCCCGGACUCCAUGAAGGGGUUCUGGAGGUACCUUCUGAAGAAGAACCUUGAUGCCCCGUGGCUGCAAGGGCUCCGUUACGCCGUGUUUGGGCUCGGCGAUUCAGGCUACCUGCAGACGUACAAUGUUGCUGCAAUGAAGCUCCGUAAAAGGCUUUCACAGCUUGGUGCGAAAUCGAUCAUAGGGAUAGGCUUGGGAGAUGAACAAGCCUCUUCAGGAUAUGAAAAAGCUCUAGGUCCUUGGGUGCUGUCUUUGUGGAAAUCAUUGAAUCGAACAAAUCCGUCACUUUUACCAAGAAUACCCGACAUAAUUAAUCCUAAUCUGAAUAAUUUGGGGGAUGCAAAGGUCGAAGUCAUAUAUUACUCUUCCGAUGAUACUCCACAAGACUCCACUGUUUCAGACUCCAAGAAAUUAAUCGGGAGAGCGCGCUCAAUGCACCCUGCUCUGAAGUUCCAUAAUGAUGGAGAGCCACAAUACAUGUUAAAGAUGGUAACAAAUGAGCGCUUGACUAAGAAGGAUUCUGAGAGAGAUGUGCGCCAUUUUGAAUUGGAAGACCCAUCUUCUGCGGUCCGUUAUCAAGUUGGUGACGCUUUAGAAAUUCUACCAAGUCAGAAUCCAUCAGCUGUUAAUGCUUUCAUCAAACGCUGUAACUUGGAUCCAGAUUGCUACAUAACGAUACGAGCAAAGGGCGGGGAUGAAGUUUCCAAAGGUUCACCUGUGAAUGGCUUGAUGGAUUGUAUCAAGUUAAAGACCUUUGUUGCUUUGACAAUGGAUGUUGCAUCAGCUUCCCCUGGGCGGUAUUUCUAUGAGAUCAUGAGCUAUUUUGCAACAGUUCAACAUGAAAAGGAAAGGCUUCAUUGUUUUGCAACAACUGAAGAUGAAAAGGAGAGGCUUCAGAAGAAAAGGCUUCAGAAAGAAAGGCUUGAGGAGUUUGCUUCUCCUGAAGGAAGAGAUAUCCUUUACCAGUACAAUCACAAGGAGGGUCGAACUGUUCUAGAAGUAUUGGAGGACUUUCCCUGGGUGCACAUGCCUUUUGAAUGGUUGGUGCAAUUGACGCCGCCGUUGAAGAAAAGAGCAUUUUCGGUAUCGUCGUCCCCAUUGGCACAUCCAAACCAGAUACACUUGACUGUUAGUGUUGUAUCAUGGCUUGCUACUCCUUUCAGGAGAAAGCAUGGUCUCUGCUCCACAUGGCUGGCAGGACUCAAUCCAAAUGAAGAAACUCGUGUACCAUGCUGGAUACACCUAGGAUCCCUGCCUCCUCCAGAUUCGUCGACUCCUCUUGUUCUUAUUGGACCAGGAACAGGAUGUGCGCCAUUCCGAGCAUUCGUGGAGGAGAGGGCUGCACAGAGGGCGAGGCAACCCACAGCUCAGAUCCUAUUCUUCUUCGGCUGUAGAAACGAAGACGAUGAUUUUCUACACAGGGACUUUUGGUCACACCAUGCCCAGGACAACAGAGUUCUGUCCCUGAAAGAGGGUGGCGGUUUCUUUGCCGCCUUCUCUAGGGAUCAGCCUGAGAAGGUGUAUGUGCAACACAAGAUAAGGGAGCAGAGCGCAAGGGUGCUGAACAUGUUAUGCUCUGGUGCCGCAGUAUACGUCGCGGGGUCGUCUACCAAAAUGCCUGCUGAUGUUAGAGCUGCGCUGGAAGAAGUUGUCCGCAAAAAGGGCGGCGAUGCAGGAUGGCUCAGGAAACUGGAAAGGGCUGGUAAAUAUAACACCGAAACUUGGUCAUAA